rnacentral:rRNA from 1 species
GACGAACGCUGGCGGCGUGCUUAACACAUGCAAGUCGAACGGAAAGGCCCUGCUUUUGUGGGGUGCUCGAGUGGCGAACGGGUGAGUAACACGUGAGUAACCUGCACUUGACUUUGGGAUAACUUCAGGAAACUGGGGCUAAUACCGGAUAGGAGCUCCUGCUGCAUGGUGGGGGAUGGAAAGUUUCGGCGGUUGGGGAUGGACUAGCGGCUUAUCCGCUUGUUGGUGGAGUAGUGGCUUACCAAGGCUUUGACGGGUAGCCGGCCUGAGAGGGUGACCGGCCACAUUGGGACUGAGAUACGGCCCAGACUCCUACGGGAGGCAGCAGUGGGGAAUAUUGCACAAUGGGCGGAAGCCUGAUGCAGCAACGCCGCGUGCGUGAUGACGUCCUUCGAGGUGUAAACCGCUUUCGCCUGUGACGAAGCGUGAGUGACGGUAAUGAGUAAAGAAGCACCGGCUAACUACGUG